GGGGAAACAGACGGCAUAUUCUUCUUCUCUGGUCAAUCUACAGAAAAAGAGUAAAAACAGCAAGCAGAUGACAACAAUGGACCAAUACCAUUAUGUGAAGGACCAGGAUGGUAGUGCGCUCUGGAUCAGUGAGACUCCACCCACCCCCCGGUUGGCUGUCUCUAGGUUCAGACGCUGGUUAUUUCCUGCUAUGACAGCCGUGAUCCUGUUGACUGUGAUCAUAAUCCUGGGA